rnacentral:rRNA from 1 species
AGAGUUUGAUCCUGGCUCAGGACGAACGCUGGCGGCGUGCUUAAUACAUGCAAGUCGAGCGAGGUUACUGUUUUGGAUCCCUUUCGGGGUGAAGAAGCUUUAACCUAGCGGCGGACGGGUGAGUAACGCGUGGGUAACCUACCCCAAAGUCCGGGAUAACAGCGGGAAACCGCUGCUAAUACCGGAUGUCUUUACCUUGGGGCAUCUUGAGGUAAAGAAAGGUAACGCUUUGGGAUGGGCCCGCGUCCCAUUAGCUAGUUGGUGAGGUAACGGCUCACCAAGGCGACGAUGGGUAGCCGGCCUGAGAGGGUGGACGGCCACACUGGGACUGAGACACGGCCCAGACUCCUACGGGAGGCAGCAGUAGGGAAUAUUGCGCAAUGGACGGAAGUCUGACGCAGCGACGCCGCGUGAGCGAUGAAGGUCUUCGGAUCGUAAAGCUCUGUCCUUGGGGAAGAAGGCGAAAGCUUGACGGUACCCAAGAAGAAAGCCCCGGCUAACUACGUGCCAGCAGCCGCGGUAAUACGUAGGGGGCGAGCGUUGUCCGGAAUUACUGGGCGUAAAGGGUGCGUAGGCGGCCCUUUAAGUCGGAUGUGAAAGCCCGCGGCUUAACCGCGGAAUGGCAUUCGAAACUGGAGGGCUUGAGUGUCGGAGAGGGUAGUGGAAUUCCCAGUGUAGCGGUGAAAUGCGUAGAUAUUGGGAGGAACACCAGUGGCGAAGGCGACUACCUGGACGAUAACUGACGCUGAGGCACGAAAGCUAGGGGAGCAAACAGGAUUAGAUACCCUGGUAGUCCUAGCCGUAAACGAUGGGUACUAGGUGUGGGUGGUUUCGAUACCAUCCGUGCCGUAGUUAUCGCAUUAAGUACCCCGCCUGGGGAGUACGUGCGCAAGCAUGAAACUCAAAUGAAUUGACGG